rnacentral:rRNA from 1 species
AUUGAACGCUGGCGGCAUGCCUUACACAUGCAAGUCGAACGGCAGCACGGGAGCAAUCCUGGUGGCGAGUGGCGAACGGGUGAGUAAUGUAUCGGAACGUGCCCAGUCGUGGGGGAUAACGCAGCGAAAGCUGUGCUAAUACCGCAUACGAUCUAUGGAUGAAAGCGGGGGAUCGCAAGACCUCGCUCGAUGGGAGCUGCCGAUAUCAGAUUAGGUAGUUGGUGGGGUAAAGGCCCACCAAGCCGACGAUCUGUAGCUGGUCUGAGAGGACGACCAGCCACACUGGGACUGAGACACGGCCCAGACUCCUACGGGAGGCAGCAGUGGGGAAUUUUGGACAAUGGGCGCAAGCCUGAUCCAGCAAUGCCGCGUGCAGGAUGAAGGCCUUCGGGUUGUAAACUGCUUUUGUACGGAGCGAAACGACUUCCACUAAUACUGGGGGCUAAUGACGGUACCGUAAGAAUAAGCACCGGCUAACUACGUGCCAGCCGCCGCAGUAAGAC